AUUCAGAUAGUUUAAAUAAAAUAUUGAUUUGUGGUAUCAAAGUUAUAGGGUUUAUUUUGGAUU
rnacentral:tRNA from 1 species